rnacentral:lncRNA from 1 species
GGAACCAGGAAACGGCCGGGGCAUUUGUCUCUAAUGAUUCAUGCAAUAGGUUUUUACUUUGCACCCACCAGUGUGGUGGCUGAUAAGUUUUAUAUUUAUGCUUCUCCUCCACCGCCUUCUUCAUCUCCUCCAUCUCCAUAUCACUACAUGUCACCACCUUCAACUCUACCAUCACUCUCACCGCCACCUCCUUAUCAUUAUACUUCACCUCCCCCUCCAAAGAAGUCUUCUCCUCCUGCAUACUACUAUAAGUCCCCACCUCCACCAUCUCCAUCGCCGCCACCUCCUUACUAUUUUAAGUCUCC